CCUACGGGAGGCUGCAGUGGGGAAUAUUGCACAAUGGGGGAAACCCUGAUGCAGCGACGCCGCGUGAGUGAAGAAGUAUUUCGGUAUGUAAAGCUCUAGCAGCAGGGAAGAAGCAAGACGGUACCGGACUAAGAAGCACCGGCUAACUACGUGCCAGCAGCCGCGGUAAUACGUAGGGGGCAAGCGUUAUCCGGAUUUACGGGGUGUAAAGGGAGCGUAGACGGUAUGGCCAGUCUGAAGUGAAAGCCCAGGGCUUAACCCUGGGACUGCUUUGGAAACUGUUAGACUAGAGUGCUGGAGAGUUCAGUGGAAUUCCUUGUGUAGCGGUGAAAUGCGUCGAUAUUAGGCGGACCACCAGUGGCGAAGGCGGCUUACUGGACAGUAACUGACGUUGAGGCUCG
rnacentral:rRNA from 1 species